ensembl:lincRNA
AAUCGUAUAAACUUGUUAAUUUAUUACAAAAUGUCCACUCACAGGAAAACACAAGAAAACUUUUUUAUAUUUUUAUAUUUGGGAAAAAGAACUGGCGUCUCAGAUACAAAAUAAUUUACACAUAAUCCAUACAAUUUUAUUUUAUAUAGAAAUAGGUCAUUAUUACAACAGCUGUACAAUUCGCUCACUUCUUCUUAUAAUUACAUAAAAAUCUUUCCUUUAGAAACAUCCCAACGUAACAAAACAUACAAAAAAAGCAAAGUGCAUUUGAAAAGGAAAAACCCAAUUCUUGGAAUCAUCAUGAAGAAUAAGUAGAGAUGCAGCAUCUUCACUUAAGGGGGGCUCCGGUCCUGCACCCCUGGGGUGAGGGCCUGGCCUGGGAAACCUCUUCCCUCUUAAGAGUUCUCUACAGAAUUUUGCAUUAGCUGCAAGACUGUGCUUUGCUUGGAGUUCACCUUUGUGGUUGCAGUCAACAAAGUAAACAGGAAAUUGUCCAGUGUCAUGUGUAGGGGUCCUGGGGCGGGGCUUUGGAGAGUGCGGUCCCUCGGGGUGGGGGCUGCAGAGGGAAUGGUCUAAGGCUCCGUUAGGAACAAGCAACCUUGCUGUCUGAUUGGCAGGCCAUUUUUAUCACUGUGGGCUCCCAAUAAAGGCAUGAGACCUUAUUAUUUUUAAGAACAGAAAGUGCCUAAGUUACUUCCUCGGUGCAGCUGUGCAAAUUAAAGCAAAACAAAAACAACCAUUUAAAAAUAAUGAAAAAUAAUCUUUUUAUUCUCUCUCUGCAACAGAUCAUGGACCCAGUCCUUCUCCAAUGCAAAGGAAAGACCACUGAGACUGAAGGCCAGCUGGGGCGUGGGGACAGGGCCACUCUGUGGAGUAACCAGUGCACUCUCCAAGGAGAUGACCAGGCUGCUAUCUCCGCAGGUCCGGGCUGUGCCCCAAGACUGGCAGAUCUGCAAAGCUGAAGCUAGAGCUGAGCCUGCCCACAGUGGGGGGCUGGGAGGCUGGCGAGUGACUGAACAGGUGGCUCCAGACUUUGGAGGAAGUCACAGCCCACACCCGAGAGGGUGACGCUCUCCAUCUCCGUCCACGGUCCUCAGAUGGCCCCUGGCCCUGCUGGAGCAGGAAGUCCUGGGCACAAGAAGCUGAAGGGGCAGCUUCGGCGGGCCCUGGCUCCCAUCUGAAUUUCAGACUGAGGGCUCCCACCCUCCUCCCUUCUAAUGUGUUUGACACCUUUGUGAAAUAAUUUUUGCCCCAUAAGUAGUAAACAUUGCUCCAUAUUUCUGGGCAAGGUCCAAUGUCACACAGCAUUGCAUUUAUUAAAUGCAAUGGGUAUUUAAAUGUGAUUUGAAUUCAUAUUUGUGUAAGACUUUUCUUGUUAUUUACUUAUUUUUAGUUGUUGAGACAGGGUCUCACUAUGUAGCUCAGGCUGGCCUUGAACUCAUUAUGUAGCCCAGGCUGGUGUCAAGCUUUCGGUGAUCCUCUUGUCUCAGCUUCCUGAGUACUGGGAUUACAGCUGUGUUGGGACUAUGCCUGACCUUUGUUUUUCAUUUCUGAGACAGAGUCUCAUUUCAUUGCCCAAGCUAAUCUUAAACGUUUUUUUUUUUGUUUUUGUUUUUGUUUUUUUUUUUUUUUUUAAAGACAGGGUUUCCCUAUUUACUUCAGGCUGGCUUUAAACUCACUAUGUAGCCCAGGUUGGCCACAAAUUGGUAUUGAUCCUCCUGCCUCAGCCUCCUAAGUGUUCAGAUUACAGGUGUACACUAUGGUGCCGCCUUAAAUUUGUGAUUCUCCUGCCACAGCCUCCUGCAUUUCUGGGGUUACAGGUAUAACCCCGGUUGUGUAAAACUUUAUAAUGUACCACAAAGGCCAGCCAUAGCCGUCACUAAGGUUUGUUCCUGCUCUAAUAAACAUGACGGAGCAAGGCGCAAGGGUAGGAACGUGACUUCCUCCAAAGGACCUCAAGAGACCAGGGCUGCAUCUUCGUCUCUCCGGCUCCAGAUGCGGGGGUUUAAAAGCCUCAGGUGUCAAAAGCAAUUGAGCCCUGGACAGAAUCUGUCAGGCCGACUGACCUGGACAGCAGGAGGGGACCUGGCCUUGCUCUGAGCCCCCCUCCCGGCCCCCAGGUCCCGAUCGAUGCCCACCUGCAGGUAGCGAGGUGGUGGCUGCUGUUGCUGCGGGCCUGGCUGGGAGGCGGGGAAGCUGGGGUGUAGCACUGCCUGCCCCAUCAGCAGGACAGGUGUUGUGGUGCUGCUGCUGGUCGGGUGCGAGUCCAGACUUGGGAACACGGACUGGCUCGGUGCAAACCUGCUCGUUUCACGAGGAGAGAGGAAAACAGAGCCUUUAGGAGACCAUCGUUGAUGUGACACCAGAAGCACAGGAAAUGACACAAAUCGGUAAAAUGGCACAGAAAAUUUUGCACAUGGAGGACGCUGUUAGCACAGGGGAAGGGUGGCCCAUGGGCUGGGAGGAGACAUUUGCAAAUCCUCUGUCUGCAGAGGCGGGUGCUGGGGACCUGUUGAGCAUUCUCCCAGCUCCAUCAUUCCCA